rnacentral:rRNA from 1 species
AGUGAACGCUGGCGGCAGGCCUAAUACAUGCAAGUCGAACGGCAGCACAGCAGAGCUUGCUCUGUGGGUGGCGAGUGGCGGACGGGUGAGGAAUACAUGGGAAUCUGCCCAGUCGUGGGGGAUAACGUAUGGAAACGUACGCUAAUACCGCAUGCGCCCUACGGGGGAAAGUCGGGGACCGCAAGGCCUGACGCGAUUGGAUGAGCCCAUGUUCGAUUAGCUAGUUGGCGGGGUAAAGGCCCACCAAGGCGACGAUCGAUAGCUGGUCUGAGAGGAUGAUCAGCCACACUGGAACUGAGACACGGUCCAGACUCCUACGGGAGGCAGCAGUAGGGAAUAUUGGACAAUGGGGGCGAACCCUGAUCCAGCCAUGCCGCGUGAGUGAAGAAGGCCCUCGGGUUGUAAAGCUCUUUUGUCCGGAAGAAAAGCAAUCGGUUAAUACCGGUUGUUCUGACGGUACCGGAAGAAUAAGCACCGG